UCCUGGUCAGUAUGUGAUUUCAUGCGCAUACCAUGUUGGCCAGAGGAAAGUUAAAGGUUGUAAUUAUACUACUGAUGCCAAAGCAACCAACAUUACUUUACCAAGAUUGGAAAAUGCACACAGCUAUGAUGUCUUCAUGAUCAUGCGUAAUAUGGAAGGAAAGUCCAGCACACGCAGAUUGUUUCAUGUCAUUAAGAAAGUGCAAGAGACCCAAACAACAACGACCCAAGAAAGAAAAUUAAGUAGCGUAGAAAUUGCCGGGCUUACUAUUUCAGUUCUCGUAGGAUGUACGAUAGCUGGAGUUGCUGUUUACUUUGUAAGAAAAUGGGGACGCCGGCAAACACCUCUGAUGCC